CACUGGUCAGAACCUGCUGAAUACCACCUCUGAAUCAGGAGUAGCUGAGGGUUUUAAAGGUCUAGCUUUCGGCAAGGGACAUUCCAGGUCACUCAAACUUCCUUAACUUAGUUUCUUGAUUAAAUCUGAUUUGGUUGUUCAUUCAACAUGCUACAUCAUAAACUAUGUUUUUUUAGAACUGUAUUGCACUGAGUUGGUGUAUUGAGACCCUUUGAAUCACAAUGACUAAAUUCACAUGAGAUGCUGAAUCAGAUUAUGACUUAGCGCAGUAUGUAAGCCCAGCCAUUGUAUAGUAUAUGCAGCAUAUAAUGAAACUAUUUAAAGGUUUGAAAAGAGAUAAUAAAGGAGCGAAAUAUAAUGGAAUGGCUUUUUUCUGUUGCUUUACAAUUGGCAGCUUUGGCUGCAACGCUUCAUUAUAUCUGUGUCUUCUGUUAGUUCUACAUCUUAGAUUUUAAAAUCUGCUAUGGUCAUUGUAUCAUUUGAAAAAUAGCUUCCAGUAAUCAGUGAAAAUUAUUUUUCAAAGCAAGCUGUAAAUAGUUCUUCAAACCCCAGAUGAUAUGAUACAUUUUAUCUUUGUGUAGCUGUGGGAUUUCCCCCCCCCUCUCUCUUUGUAUUUAAUUGUGUUUCUCUCCUUUUCAGCUUCAAGAAUGGACGGGCUCAGUUUUUUCCUCCUUCCAACUCACGGUGUCAUCCUGAACAAAGCAUUGUCGACUCACACUGAGGAAAAGAUUUCGCCCAGGAAAUAGCUGUGUUGUGGUUUCUUAGGCAACUACCUACAAAAUCAUUUUCAAAAGACAGAAGGCUGUUAUAGAAGGCAACACAGUGUACAGAAUUACUUCGUUGUUCUUUGUAUUUGUUUUGCUUCCCGUCAAAAACAUGUUCAUUUUUGGCACUUAAAACUGCCUUCAAAAUCCUUUAAAACUUUGGGAUUGGUUGAUCAUUGGCUGAAAAGUUGACUGGAAUCUCAGUGAAAUUAUCAAGACUGAGUGAUCCUGCAGGAACCAGACUACCUCCUAAUUGCCUUAAUUCCUCCCUUCAACUUCAUUGUUUGAAGGAGAGAUGCCACCAUUUGGACUAUGAAGAAGCAGAACUAACUUGGAAGAUAGCUGUCAGUUUUGGUCACCUUGUAAACAAAUUCACACUGAUUCAAGAGUCUUCCAGUAGCCGAUGAAAGAAAGCUGCAACCUCCUUGACUUCACAUGGAUUUGAUGCUUGGGAUGAUUUAGGCACUACUUUGUUGAGGACCAUAUGAGAUUUUGGUAGUUUAGCCCAAGUGGUAAGUUAAACACAUUCUUCUUUAUUAUAGUGGUUCUCAAUUUGUGGUCCACGGACCCCUGGGUGGGGGAGGGAGUUGUCACUGGGCCCCCGCGAAGGCUUGAA